AGUUUUUUGAAUCCAUGACGAGAUUUCCUCAGAUACCACACCAUAAGUAUUGAUGAGACUGUCAUGAUAAGCGAAGCG
rfam:Schistosoma haematobium scaffold1668_2, whole genome shotgun sequence.